rnacentral:rRNA from 1 species
GGCGGACGGGUGAGUAACGCGUAAGGAACUUGCCUCUUGGACUGGGACAACUGUUGGAAACGACAGCUAAUACCGGAUAUUAUGAGAUUCUCGCAUGAGAAACUUAUGAAAGCUAUAUGCGCCAAGAGAGAGCCUUGCGUUCCAUUAGCUAGUUGGUGGGGUAACGGCCCACCAAGGCGACGAUGGAUAGCCGGCCUGAGAGGGUGAACGGCCACAAGGGGACUGAGACACGGCCCUUACUCCUACGGGAGGCAGCAGUGGGGAAUAUUGGACAAUGGGCCACAAGCCUGAUCCAGCAAUUCUGUGUGCACGAUGAAGGUCUUCGGAUUGUAAAGUGCUUUCAGUUGGGAAGAAGAAAGUGACGGUACCAACAGAAGAAGCGACGGCUAAAUACGUGCCAGCAGCCGCGGUAAUACGUAUGUCGCAAGCGUUAUCCGGAUUUAUUGGGCGUAAAGCGCGUCUAGGCGGAAAAAUAAGUCUGAUGUUAAAAUGCGGGGCUCAACUCCGUAUUGCGUUGGAAACUGUUUUUCUAGAGUACUGGAGAGGUGGGCGGAACUACAAGUGUAGAGGUGAAAUUCGUAGAUAUUUGUAGGA